CCUCCACCAGGAAUAGAACUAGAGGAAGCAGGCUUAAUCUGUAGCCUGAGCCUUGUAGUUUAAACAUAAAGGAGAAUUUCCUGACAGUGAGUAGUGGAUUAUGGAAUUUUUUUCUUAUGAGAUUUAGAGUUCCAUCUGGUUGGGGUAUGUUUGAUGCAGUUGUCUCUGAAAGUGGCAGAGCUCCUGCAAGACUACUAAGUUUGUGGAUCUGGGACAGAUCGUGAGUUUGCAGUGGACUCCCCAGAUACUGCACCUGACUGGUCCUGAUUACCUGACUAGUAGUCUGCUGGCUACUCCUGGGAAUAUCUCAAGCUUCUGUCUGACCAGUAUGUACGUUCCCAGUCUGGCUCCAGGCAUAGCGUUCAUUCUGAGAAUCAUCAUGCUUUGAGAACAUGUGAUCGCCAGGUCUACUCCCAGGUAUCCAGGAUUGUUUUUCUCUUGCUCAUCAGGAACAUGGUAAGAUUUUCCAUUUGGUCAGAUCUUAGAAUACUUAUUUUAGUUAACAUUUCAUCACCGAAAAAUAUUGUUCUCAAUACAUUUAUUACUAAAUAUCUUUUGGGUUUUGUCACUAUCAAAAAGAGAUUUUCCUCCUAUUUUUUUUUUAUUGGUAGUGAUUGCUUGAAUAGAGAAAGCUAUUGGAUGUUGUAUAUUUAUGUCAGGUUUUUCUACCUUAGCAAAGUCUUUUAUUUAUUUUGUUUUUGAAAAUUUUUUAUCUUAGAUUUUUUAUCCUUUAAUUAGGAUCAUUUCAUCUUUUCCAGUACUUAUGCUAGUUAUCUAAAUUUCUUGGAUGUUUGCUUUAGCUUUUGUUAAAUAUUUCAAGGCAGUAUUUAAUAUUAAUAGUGAAAAUAUUCAUCUCUGUCUUUAACUGGAAGGAUUUUAGUGUUUUUUUAUUUAAUGUAAUAUUGGGUUGUGGUAAGAUAGUCUUUAUUGUAUCUACGUAUUUUGUUUUUGUUAAUAUUUUAUUUUGUGCUUUUACUGGAAAUGACCGCUGAUUUUUAUCAAAUGUCUUUUGAUCGUCUAUUGAUGUGGUUAUUUAUUUUUAUUCUAUUAAUAUAUAGAAGUAAUGGAUUUCCUGAUAAGCUUCUUGAUAAUGCAUCCUCUUCCAUUCCUGUAAUAAACCUUUAGUCAUAUAUUUUCAUUUUGAUUUGUUUCUGCAUUGUACUUGCUAAUAUCUUGUGCAGCAUGUUGUAUAUGUUACCAGAGAGCUUUUAGAGUGACAAGAAAAAUAUUAAGUCUCUAAAUAAAUAGCAAAGAUCUUGGCUAAAUGUAAGAAAAAAAACGUUCAAAUUUGUUAGAUGCACACGUGCAGAGACACACAAGCAAGCACAGAAAAAAACAUAUACCAUUAUAUUCAUAGACUUGUCAAAAAAUAAAAAGAACUGUAUUUCCUAUCACUGGUGAUGAUCUGUAAAAGACUUAACUCUUGCACACAGUAGGAAAAGUGAGUGUUGCACUGUGGUUUGAAAAAGUAUCUGUGAAAACAAAGCUACACAUACUUUUGUUUAACAAUUUCAAUUGCAUUGAAUCUAUAAUACAGGUAAAUAAGAGCACAAUGACUUAAUAAAUGUGUGAAAAUAUUUUGAGUAAAAUAAAAGGAAAGAAAAAUAGUGGAAAUAAAGACAAUUCCUGUCAAUAGGGGCAUGGCUUUGAACAUGGUGGGGUAUCUACACCAUGGAAUAUUAUGCUGUCAUUAAAAACAAUGAACUAGUUCUCCACUAAUUAGCCUGGAGGGAUUUCCAUGAUGUGUUUUGGAGUGGGAAAAACAAAGUGUAAAAAGGUUAUGGAAGUAACCUCAAUUAACAUAAAAGUUACAGCAAAAUUUGUGUAUGGUUAUGUGCACAUAUUAUGUCCUAUAUCUUAUAUAUCUUCUUAAUAUUCAAUGAAAAAUAAUUUGAAAUACAUAUUUAGUCUAAAUAUUUUUUUCUUUCUUAUGUAUCCAAAUAUAAUGCUUUCUUUCCAUGUGGAUACAAAAUUCAGCUGUUUUAUAUGAAAAUAUAUGGUAGCUUUUAAUAUAUCUGGUAACUGUAUACUUGUGCAUAAAUGACACUAAAAAGUAAUAGAAAAGAAAACAAAACAAAACCCAAAGGGCCUUGGACUCUGGAAUGAUAGUACAAUUAUAAAACUAUUUAUAUUACUCUUUAUGUCGCCAUUUCCCAAGAUUCAAAAUAUGAACAAAUUUAAUACUUCAAGAAAGAAUGUAAGUUCUGUGAUUCAGCAUUAAAAAGCAAGUUUAACUUUCCAUGAAGCUUUCUACAGAAAUGCAAAGUAUAUCUCGACAUAUCUACAUUUAUGUAAACCAUGUGAAGCGAGCAGAAGCAAUACUGUAGACACGCCUCUUAAUGAUUUAUUAUAGUAAGUGACAUGUAACAAUGAAAAGGUGAGCUGGUGGGGGACUCUUCUCCAACCCUGUUUCUGUCACAGCUGGAGGUGCAUGGUUUCCUUGUUCUUGUGAAAGAAUUACUUCCACAUCGUGAGCUCCUGCAACAAGAGUUAUAUAUGAAUUGUCUUUUCUUCUUAAGUAUUAAUAAUUCAAUCAUAUGUAAAAGGAACUUAGUAAUGCAUACUAUAAUUAAAGAAGUCAGAGCUUCUAAGAGCUCAAGA